UACGUAGGGGGCUAGCGUUGUCCGGAAUCAUUGGGCGUAAAGCGCGCGUAGGCGGUUUGGAAAGUCAGAUGUGAAAGCCCCGGGCUCAACUUGGGAACUGCAUUUGAUACUGCCAGACUAGAGUACAGAAGAGGUGACUGGAAUUCCCAGUGUAGCGGUGAAAUGCGUAGAUAUUGGGAGGAACACCAGAUGCGAAGGCGGGUCACUGGGCUGAUACUGACGCUGAUGCGCGAAAGCCAGGGGAGCGAACGGG
rnacentral:rRNA from 1 species